rnacentral:tRNA from 1 species
ACCAGGAUGGCCGAGUGGUAAGGCGUGGACUCAAAUUCAAAUUUACGGAUGUACGCGUGGGUUCGAACCCCACUCCUGGUA